rnacentral:lncRNA from 1 species
CCCCGAUGAGACCCCAUUUGGGGUUGUUCUCCAGCUGCUGCAUUCAGAAUUCUGCUUUUCUCUGCAUUUAUGCUGCAGUUGUUUUGUAAUCCAUUUUUCUCAGAAGACUCAGACAGCCCUCUCUGCUGAUAGGCAGGGGUGUGAUCCUGCUGCCAAGAGGACCUGACAUUGACAAUAAACAGCAAUAAAAGUGCCGGUCUGCUCCUGUGCCAUCAGAUGGAGCCCAGCCAGCCAUGACUAGAAAGUUUCCUAUUUUCAAGUAGGCCUUCCCUGUGCCCAAGAGGAGCCUAAAGAGAAGCAUACACAGAGCAGCUUCUGGGUGGAAUCCUGUAUCACUGCAAUCACCUGCCUGGCUUCCUGCCUCCAGCUCCUUCACAUACCCACAGCUGAGUUCCUUGUCACCCAUCCCCUGCAGGCUCAAAGCCACCCCGACAUCAGGCAGAAUUUAAGGAGACCAAGGACAGAGAAGUACCAUGGUUACCAAUGAAAUACCAUUUCACGGCUUACAUUUGUUGUUUAUUUACUACACACCAGAUAUCAUGUUAAGAGUUUUAUAUGCACAUUCUCAGUCACUCCUCCCCACAAACUUAUAAGGUAGGUACUAUUAUUAUUCUCAUUUUCCUGAUAAUAAAGCCAAAACCCAAGAAAGUUAUAUAAAUUGCCAAAGCCCCCUAAGCCAUAGCUGAAUGGAUCAAGAUUGGACAGCUGACCUGAGAUAGAUCACUCAGAUUGUCUCUCCAAGAAAUUUGGAAUUGUUUGAGAGACAGAUCGUCUCUGCUGGUCACUCGAAAUAAAGACAUAAACUUGGCAGCUGUGGGGUGGUUAUUAAUGGUAUACACAUACCAGAGAAGCCAUUCUGUAGGUGUAGAGAGAAAGAAUUAGGCAGAUGGAGAAAGAAACAGAAAAGUGUGCGUUUGGAGAAAGAGUGUGAGCAAAGGACUGGUUCUCUGGAUUCCCCAGUUAUACUUCUUGCCUCUAUUAGUUAAGACUCCAGGAAAUAAGUGAUAGAAA